rnacentral:lncRNA from 1 species
AUGAUAAAGGAGAACGUGUUUCUGUCUUGUAUUGUGAAAUUCUCAGUACUGGAGUGUAGACUGGGUAGAACACCAACUGGUAAAGAAAGAGUAAAGUCACCGACCUCACCAGUUCUGGCCUCUUUCCGACCGGAGAAAAGGGAAGAGGGCGGACAGCAGUCAAUUGCAUGGCCAGGCAAACUUCUCUGUCCCGGGUCCCCUCGCCCCAGCGAGAACCUCGCCUCGCGCGCGAGCGCGCGCCUGCGCGGACCAGGCCGGCUGCCGGGGCCGCCUUGGCCCCUUCACUUCCCCGGCGGUCCACAAGAAGUACCCCAGCGAGUGCGACGAGGUGCAGCCAGGCUAAAGGAAGAGGGCGGGCUCACGCUCCCCACUUACUUGGUACUCGAUCUCCAGCGAGGCCUUCAGCGGCAUGGACUGGUAGAAACACUCCUUCUGUCCGGCCGGAAGGAAAUGGAAUCAGGUUCAUCAGCCUGUUAUAAUGAAGACAAUGAAGAAGAAAGUUUGCUUGCAAAUGUUGCGUCGUUAAGACAUGAACUGAAGAUAACAGAAUGGAGUUUGCAGAAUUUAGGGCAAGAGUUAUCCAGUGCUAGUCCAAGUGAAAAUUCCAAUUUUGCUUCUAAUCCUUCAAGGUUUGAAAAACGUAUUAUGGAAGAUCUUGUUCAGCCUAGCCACCCAGGACUUUUGAAUUACUCAUCUUCUAAAAACAUUUGUAAAAUGUCCAGUAGCAGCUCUGAUUUUCAGAAAAAGCCAAAAGAUAAGGUGUCUUUUUUGUCUUCUGCUCCUGUGGAUCAGGAAAUUAAAAGUCUGCGAGAAAAACUUGAUAAACUUAGGCAACAGAAUGCUUGUUUGGUCACACAGAAUCAUUCUUUAAUGAGUAAAAUAGAGUCAAUCCAUUUUGAACUAACACAAUCAAGAGCAAAAAUUUCUGUGCUUGAGUCUGCUCAACAGCAUGCAGCAACUAUCCCAAUCUUAGAAGAACAGAUUAUGAAUUUGGGAGCAGAAGUUUCAGCUCAAGAUAAAGUUUUGAGGUAAAUAUACUUUUUAUAGCCUUAAAAUUUUUAUUAUUAAAAAUUUUUUUUUAAUUUUUUCUGGUUGUUAUAUUUUGCUAAAUCUUACCCCUCACCCUACUCCAAUAAAUCUAUAGUGACCUAUA